rnacentral:rRNA from 1 species
UACCAGCACCCCGAGUGGUCGGGACGAUUAUUGGGCCUAAAGCAUCCGUAGCCGGUUCUACAAGUCUUCCGUUAAAUCCACCUGCUUAACAGAUGGGCUGCGGAGGAUACUAUGGAGCUAGGAGGCGGGAGAGGCAAGCGGUACUUAGUGGGUAGGGGUAAAAUCCGUUGAUCCAUUGAAGACCACCAGUGGCGAAGGCGGCUUGCCAGAACGCACUCGACGGUGAGGGAUGAAAGCUGGGGGAUCAAACCGG